rnacentral:lncRNA from 10 species
UUAGUGCUCAGUACACUUCAGGCACUUUACAUGAGCCCUCGAGGUGGAGGUUGCAGUGAGCCAGGAUUGCACACUAUACUCCAGCCUGGGUGACAGAGUGAGACCCUGUCUCCAAAAAAUAAAAAAAAGGCAACAUCAGGAAGUUACCCAAUGUGGUCUAAAAGGGGGAGGAACCCUCAGUUCUGGGAGUUGUCCACCCCUUUCCGGGAAAACUCAUGAAUAGUCCAUCCCCUGUCCAGCAUAUAAUAAGGGGGUCUUCCUUCUUUGCUUGGCCCUUCUCCUUUCUGCCACCUUGUGAAGAGGAUACCUUGCUUCCCCUUUACCUUCCACUGUGAUUGUAAGUCAAGCAAUUCUUGUGCCUCAGCCUCCCAAGAAGCUGGGAUUACAGGUGCAUGCCACCACACUCAGCUAAUUUUUGUAUUUUUAGUGGAGAUGGAGUUUU